GCUGGCAGGGCCACAACCAGCGCAGACUGUCUUUCUCUAAGCAUCUCUGGGUUAGUAUCUCCCUGAGCGCCUCAUUCUUGAGCACUACUAGGAGGCCUCUGUGGCUUCC
ensembl:miRNA predicted gene, 22831